rnacentral:rRNA from 1 species
CGGAAAGGCCCCUUUGGGGGUACUCGAGUGGCGAACGGGUGAGUAACACGUGAGUAACCUGCCCUUGACUUCGGGAUAACUUCAGGAAACUGGGGCUAAUACCGGAUAGGAAUCCUUGCUGCAUGGUGGGGGUUGGAAAGCUUCGGCGGUUUUGGAUGGACUCGCGGCUUAUCAGCUUGUUGGUGGGGUAGUGGCUUACCAAGGCUUUGACGGGUAGCCGGCCUGAGAGGGCGACCGGCCACAUUGGGACUGAGAUACGGCCCAGACUCCUACGGGAGGCAGCAGUGGGGAAUAUUGCACAAUGGGCGGAAGCCUGAUGCAGCAACGCCGCGUGCGGGAUGACGGCCUUCGGGUUGUAAACCGCUUUCAGCAGGGGCGAAGCUUUUGUGACGGUACCUGCAGAAGAAGCACCGGCUAACUACGUGCCAGCAGCCGCGGUGAUACGUAGGGUGCGAGCGUUGUCCGGAUUUAUUGGGCGUAAAGAGCUCGUAGGUGGUUGAUUGCGUCGGAAGUG